rnacentral:rRNA from 1 species
GUGGGGAAUAUUGGGCAAUGGGCGCAAGCCUGACCCAGCAACGCCGCGUGAAGGAAGAAGGCUUUCGGGUUGUAAACUUCUUUUACCAGGGACGAAACAAAUGACGGUACCUGGUGAAUAAGCCACGGCUAACUACGUGCCAGCAGCCGCGGUAAUACGUAGGUGGCGAGCGUUAUCCGGAUUUAUUGGGUGUAAAGGGCGUGUAGGCGGGACAGCAAGUCAGAUGUGAAAACCAGAGGCUCAACCUCUGGCCUGCAUUUGAAACUGUUGUUCUUGAGUGUCGGAGAGGUAAUCGGAAUUCCAUGUGUAGCGGUGAAAUGCGUAGAUAUACGGAGGAACACCAGUGGCGAAGGCGGAUUACUGGACGAUAACUGACGCUGAGGCGCGAAAGCGUGGGGAGCAAACAGGAUUAGAAACCCUGGUAGUCC